UACGGCCAUGUCACGUUGAAACACCGGUUCUCGUUAGAUCACCGAAGUUAAGCAACGUUGAACUUGGUCAUUACCUGGAUGAGUGAUCGUUUGGGAAUACUAAAUG